ensembl:ncRNA F19B6.9 ncRNA
CGUGCUGAAGUUAUUUCUUGUAAUCAACAGAAAGAUAGUCACAUCGAAGUUGCUCAUGUGCUUACUGACAGAUAGAACUCGGAUCAGGAAACGAACUGUGUAAUGAGCAAACAACAUAACAAGGUCCGU